AUUGAACGCUGGCGGCAGGCCUAACACAUGCAAGUCGAACGAGUGGCGGACGGGUGAGUAAUGUCUGGGAAACUGCCCGAUGGAGGGGGAUACCUACUGGAAACGGUAGCUAAUACCGCAUACCAUCGGAUGUUCCCAGAUGGGAUUAGCUAGUAGGUGGGGUAACGGCUCACCUAGGCGACGAUCCCUAGAUGGUCUGAGAGGAUGACAUGCCACACCGGAACUGAGACACGGUCCAGGCUCCUACGGGAGGCAGCAGUGGGGAAUAUUGCACAGUGGGCGCAAGCCUGAUGCAGCCAUGCUGCGUGUAUGAAGAAGGCCUUCGGGUUGUAAAGUACUUUCAGCGAGGAGGCGUUACUCGCAGAAGAAGCACCGGCUAACUCCGUGCCAGCAGCCGCGGUAAUAC
rnacentral:rRNA from 1 species